AUAUAUAAAUAGGUAUUUACUAUUUAGUAUUUUUGAUUUUUAAUUUUUAUACAUUUGUAUUUGUAUUGUGUGUCGUGUGAUGGUUUAGUAGUAACUCGUUCUCAUCUCGAUUCUCGUUAUAAUUUUAUAAUAAUAAAUAAAAACAUAUUAUGUACCUACAAGUACAAGUACAAGUUCAGAGAAGUCUACCAUAAUAGAGUAACUAAGUAGGAUUUCAUGGCUGCAGUUGACUGACAAUACGCUCGUAUACAUAUCAGCAAUAUGUGCUCUAAAUUUUGUUUCCUGUUCGUUCGAUUGACGAUGGUUGCAUUGUUCCGUUGUCGAAGGCCAUGAUCUGGACCCGUUCAGCUGCAGCCCGGAUAAUAUGGUGAACAACCGGUCGACGACUAAACGACACGUAGUUGACAACGAUUCCGGUGCCGGACAGCGCGAUUUGAUAAUUUUGGUUUUCAGAACCAUCAAGCGUAAUGCGUGCUUGGCUGGAACUGAUACGAGGAAUUACGCAAAAGCCGAGUGGACGGAAAACCGUGGACUACUGGUCACGGGAAGCUUGUUAUUGGUGGACGAGUGAAGCAAAAUACCUACACGUCAGUUGACAUGAUGAUGGAUCUUCAUCACACACACUUCAUACACACGCACAGGUAAAAAUGUAUUUGGUGUAAUCAUGAAUAUUUUGUUAGUGAUGCGAACUCGGCAUUUACCAAGUCGUGAUUUUACUACGUACGGUGCCAAUGAUUU